rnacentral:lncRNA from 1 species
AUGGGAAAUAUAUUAAUUUCAAUUAUUAAUUUUAAAAAACAACUUUUUUUUGUUUAUUAUAUUCUUGUGUUGGAAAAAACAGAUAUGAUAUAGAUAAAAUAAAAUAAAAAAUACAACAUGACACAAGAAUAUAAUGUUAAAAUUUUAUAACUAGAAAAAAAAACACGAUUGUUGUCUAAUUACAACCACAUGAUAACACUACGUGAAAACCGUUACAACACAUAUACUACCCUCAAUCACUCCACAACCCCAAUACACCCACACAAUAAUAUAUAGAAGAAAGAGAGAAAGUGGGAAGAUAGAGAGAAGAAUAGAAGAGGAAUAACUUGGAGAAGAGAAAAGCUAGAUCUAAGGAGCUAGAGGGGAGAGUGAAGCCUAAACUAGUAAAUUUGAAGGUUUAAGGUGAUCGAGAGUAGGUUGCUGUGUUUGCUGUCGUGAGUGGCUAUCCCUCACUGAGUCGUUUAGGUUCUCUGAUACGUAACGGGAUGGGAUCUUUUGUGGCUAUUUUCUAUUCCUUACGUAUUUGAUUUAUGAUGUUAAUUGAUUAAGUUGUUUAACUGAAUUUUAUGAGAUGUUUUGAUGAGGCCUACGUGCCAAGACUUAUUUAUGUUGAUGAAUUAAAUCCGCUGCGAAGUUUUGAAUUAAUAUGUUGAAGGAUAAAUUGUUAUUUAUCCCAUUUAUGUUUUUAAGAAAUGUAGCAUUC